rnacentral:rRNA from 1 species
GGUUCAUUCAAAUUUCUGCCCUAUCAACUUUCGAUGGUAAGGUAUUGGCUUACCAUGGUUUCAACGGGUAACGGGGAAUUAGGGUUCGAUUCCGGAGAGGGAGCCUGAGAAACGGCUACCACAUCCAAGGAAGGCAGCAGGCGCGCAAAUUACCCAAUCCCGACCGGGGAGGUAGUGACAAUAAAUACUGAUACAGGGCUCUUUUGGGUCUUGUAAUUGGAAUGAGUACAAUUUAAACCUCUUAACGAGGAACAAUUGGAGGGCAAGUCUGGUGCCAGCAGCCGCGGUAAUUCCAGCUCCAAUAGCGUAUAUUAAAGUUGUUGCAGUUAAAAAGCUCGUAGUUG